rnacentral:rRNA from 1 species
UACGGAGGGGGCUAGCGUUGUUCGGAAUUACUGGGCGUAAAGCGCACGUAGGCGGCUUUGUAAGUUAGAGGUGAAAUCCCGGGGCUCAACCCCGGAACUGCCUUUAAGACUGCAUCGCUUGAAUCCAGGAGAGGUGAGUGGAAUUCCGAGUGUAGAGGUGAAAUUCGUAGAUAUUCGGAAGAACACCAGUGGCGAAGGCGGCUCACUGGACUGGUAUUGACGCUGAGGUGCGAAAGCGUGGGUAGCGAACAGG